CCUUUCUCGCACGCCAGCAUGAAUAGCUUCUCGUCCAUGGUGGUCUCCUCCUUGACUUCGCGCACGUCCUUUAAGGUGUUCCAGUUUCAUCCCAUAUCCCAAAGACAUGCAGCUGGUCAUUUAAUAUCCAGCCCUUUGAAUGUCCAGGGAGCUGUCCCUCAACACUGCAGCAAAAGAGGAACCCCCCGGGGAUCAAAGGUGGAUGGGAAAGGAGAGAGACAUGGCGUCCAAGGAAGGAGGCCUGCAACAGCCUGGAACAGGCACCACUCGUCAGAAUAGAGGAUGAACUUUGAGAAUAGCGGCAAAACAUUGCAGCACUUACUGUGGGCUCAGAAGGCUAUUUCUGUACACUUGCAAAUCGAGGUUCGGGGUAUGGCAAUACUCUACUGGACUAUUUGUAUGAAAAAGAUUAUCACUAUGUUAGCAAAUAGCACACGAGACAAUAAAAGCACCCAUUGACCCAUUGAAAAGAGGCAUAUUUUGGGGCUGAAUUCUAUUGCCAGAAGUUUAGACCAUCCAUAUGAAUUACUUUGUCCCAGCAAAGAUGUUUGAAUAUUCCAGAAAAUAUUGGCAACUUCUAUGUGCUCCCAUUGUAAAUGUAAUUCCGCAA